rnacentral:rRNA from 1 species
UCGCGAAAACUUCGCAAUGGGGGCAACCCCGACGAGGGAAUUCCAAGUGCCAGCACUUUGUGUUGGCUGUUCUCCUGUCUAAAAAACAGGAGGAGUAAGGGGCGGGUAAGACGGGUGCCAGCCGCCGCGGUAAUACCCGCGCCCCUAGUGGUGGUCGAUAUUAUUGAGCCUAAAACGUCCGUAGCCGGUCUUCUAAAUCCUUGGGUAAAUCGGGCAGCUCAACUGUCCGAAGUCCGGGGAGACUGGAAGACUUGGGACCGGGAGAGGUCAGAGGUACUUCUGGGGUAGGGGUAAAAUCCUGUAAUCCUGGAAGGACCACCGGUGGCGAAGGCGUCUGACUAGAACGGAUCCGACGGUGAGGGACGAAGCCCUGGGGCGCAAACG